UAAAAUAGCUGAGUCUCCCUCUACCACAUCAGGCCUAACAAUCCACAAAAAUGGGUGCUUGCUAUUUGCAAGCCCCCAUGCGAAUUCUUUCAGAUGCUGAUCUGUCAUUGUAGUUAUGCUCCCAUAAUUUACAUACACAACUGAACUAGGUUUCUUCUGAUCAAGCCAUUUCAAACAUUCUGUGUCUUCUUUCCAUAAGUUUGAGCUAAGAGACUCGACCAAUUUGGUUUCCGUUUUAGACAAAUGCCUCUCAAGCAACUUAAGGGGGCCAAUGGUGUAGAUGUUAGGGAAUAUGGUUGAUAUUACCUCUAACACUUCAUGUUCAAAUUCAUCAUAUGUGUUGAAGAUGAUUGCAGAAGACUUCAAACAGUUUCGUGAUUCGGAUCCCAAGAAAUCGAACAUUAUGUCAUUGACAUCUGUGACUCUGAUGAAGCUGGGGAUGUCCCUGAGUCGAACAUUUUUCAUGCCUGGGAUCCAAUCAAUUGGUGUAUCCAGUGUACCAUCAUGCAGGAAAGUCUCUUCUGAAAUAUGCAUGGAAGGUGAACAAUAUGUGUGAUCAUACUUUAUGGUCACAUUACAGGAGUAUAUUUGAUCUCAAAUAUUACACGAAACUCAUAGGUUAAUAUUCUACAUAAUACGGUGUCAUUUUUUAGUUUGGAGAACUGGACCUAACUUUCCGAACAAAAUAAUUAUGUAUUUUGCAAGUGGUUAAGAGUAUUUACUUUGCAUUCUAGCUCCUAUAUUUGAUUUUCCCUUCAUCAAUAUCGCUUUGUAUAUAAAAAAACAAAAAUAUGUAUUUUUAUAUUAAACAAAGAAAUUAUGUCUAUGUUAUCAUGCAUACAAAAUCAAGAGUGAAUGACUUUCAACGUGUUUUUCUUAUAAAGAAUUAAUAUAUAUUGAUUAAAAAUAUUUAUAUUGUAGAAUGUGUAUAAAAUCUUGAAAGAAGUUAAAGAUUAGUCUUUUUUUUAAUAUUAAAACAGAAAUUAGGAAUCCUAAAACUAGUUCUUAAUUUAGUAAUAUUUUUCUCUGUUUUGCUUGACACCUCCUCAAAAUAAAAAUAUAAGAAAAAAAAUACGUAAUGUUAUUAAUCUAAAUGGAACUUUUUUCCAUUUUUUAAAGAAGAGAUAUCUAGUUUUCAAAUAUCUAAAAGGAACAAAAGGAUACAAAAGAGUCAAAAGGAUAGAAGGAUAACACCACAGCUCAACCAAGAAAAAGCAAUGGUUGAAAAACUACGCAAGUGUAUCAUUUGGUCUACCUCAAGCCUCAUAAGAAAUUUAUCACUCCAAGGAAUAUGUGCUUGGAAUAUUAUCGUGGGAUUGAAUGAUUCAACCUCAAGUCACAUAAAAAUGUUCAUAAGCCUAAAAUAAAUAUGCAACGGAAGUAUACCUUUGAAUGGAACAAUGCCUCGCUUGACGAGCUCACUGUAUUGCAAGUAACCCAAGAAGCCACAAGCAGAGGCAGUCCAAAACUGGACCUCCGGAAUGCCUAACUCCUGAGCAGCUUGCCUCCCAAAUCCCGUGAUACCAUCUGCAACUAUACAAGUAACUUGUGGCACUUGAGAUGAGGAGUUGAUCUUAGUGACCAGCUCUUUGAAUGGACCUAGACAGGUUUUCCUGGUGGAGUCGCAUAAGGCUGGAACAUCUUGGGUUGCAUCCUUAUCCGAAGGAGGCAGCCCGUCCGGUAUGGUCUCGAACUGGAAGUCGGGCAAGCCCUUGACAGAGUCCGGGCCUUUGGACCGGAUUAGGCGCCUGUGGUUGAACUCUGUGUUGACAAAGGUUAUGUGGAAGCCCCUUGAGUGAAGAAGCUUGGCUAAUUGCAUCACGGGGCUAACAUGGCCUUGAGCUGGGAAAGGGACACAAACUGCGUGUAGUUUUUUGGUUGCUUCUCGUACUGAACCCAUCUCUCUUUACCAAUAUAAGCAAGACCUGUGUGGUGAAACCCAACUUUGCUUUUAUGCCAUUUAUAGAAAAUGUGCCAAGCCUUGCCUCUUCGGCACUUGAUUGUGACAUUGGAGUCACUUCUGUUAAAAUCAAAAUAAAAAUUAUUGUUUACUAACAAUAAAAUUGCCCAUUUCACUAAUACUUCAAAUUUAUGUCCUAUGUGCAUCCGGAGACAAUUUCUCAUUUGUUUUUAUAUUGUCAAUAUACUAAUCACUGGCAUAAUCUUUCACCUUCUUAUACAUUUAAUUGUUUUACUGUUUGCUGGAAAAUUUGAGAACAAAGCAAUCCUCUAGUCUUUCAAAAUAAGGCAACACAAAUCCGUGAGGCCAUUUCACACAUAAGAAUUGAAAACUAAAAAUUAAAAUUGAAAUGCUAAUCAAAGGGGCAUAAGAUUUUGAAAAAUAGGAACUAUAAAUAUUGGCUAUGGUAAAUUUGUUGACAUGGAAAUAUAGUUUUUAUUUAUUAUUAUUUUUCAUAUACAAGCAAUACUCUUAACCAUUUAAACUACAAGUUCUUUAAUUACAAUGUGUGGUGUGGUUGACAAACUGCCACCUCUAGCUGGCGGACUGCUUGGUGGAAAAAUAGUUAAUGGACCUGCAAGUCCUUUGCUGACGUGGAAAAAUAGUUAAUGGACCUGCAAGUCGUUUUUGUUUUUAUGUCUAAUUUUCUAUACAUAAAAAAUCCAAGUAGAUUUACUUUCAUUUUUUGGUCUGAAAAAAAUCCAAGUAGAAUAUUGACCCGUGAAGGUAACACCAAAUAAUAUGUUGUGUUGUCUUACAAACUCAAUGCAAAUUAUUAUAGGGUUAAUUAUAGUUUGGUAUUCUGUAAUUACACCCUUAACACAUGUUAGUCUUUGUCUUUUUAAUUUUAACAAUCACAUACCCCGGUCUUUUAAAUUUGUUACAAUGUGGCUCCGCCAUUAUGGUUUCUGUUAGAUCUCUCUGUUAAUUGCCUACGUGGCACUGUAGAUCCCAUAUUUUUAAAAUUUUUAAUUUUUAAUUGAUUAAAAUAUGAAUAAAGUAUUAAAAACCAAAAAAAUUAAAAAAAUUUCUCAAAAACCUCUCUCUCUCUCUCUGCGUUCUCUCUGCGUUCUCUCAGCAACAAACCCAAAACCCAACUCUCUCUCCUCUCUGCUCUCUACCCCAUGACACCACCACGUGCAAACUAUACCACACCCUAGCCUGAAACCACAUCCCCACGAACCCAGAAACCCAGACCCGACGUAGAAUCCGAAAGCCCAGUUCGGCUUCGGGAGCUUGGUCUGCUUCGGAGGAAUUGGAACCAUUUUUGAGUCAAGACCCAUUCGGCUAGUGGAUCCGAGAUCCAGAACUUCAGGAUGGAGAUUCUGCUUCGGUGGUGGCUGAAUCAGGGCGAAUUUGGGGAUUUCCUCUCCGCGUUUUAGGAUACUGACCUGGCCUAUGACCACAUUCUUGGGGGUAGCGGGUUUCUGGACCCGUGGGAGUGGGUUGUAGUUGGUCCUGGUCGGCCUUCGCUUACUCCGGUCGGCUUGUGGGGAGGUUCUGACCCGAUUAGGGUUAGGGCUUCUAUGGAAUUCAUCAGUGCUUGAGGUGAAACACAGUCUUUGAGGCAAUUUUGAUGACUGAAAACUUUAACACCCAUAUAAAAUCUAACAAAAUCAGAUCCAAAAAUUCGAGCUUUUCAAGCUCUUGCAACGAAGGAGAAGAGGAUAAAAUUACAAACUUUGGGGCUCUUGAGAGCCAAGGGGAAUUUACAGAGAGAAGGGCAAACGAAGAUGAGAUUGUGUGAAGAUUGGGAAGGAGGGAGGGCUGUGUUUUAUAGGGAAAGGAAGGGGAAGAUACUUUUAAGGCAAUUAGAGUAGGGAAAGCGACAACCGCCAGGCUUCGAUUUGAAUGAGACAUCGAAAUCUAGGUUGGGGGGAAGAAAUCGGGUCUGGGUUUUUGGGUUCGUGGGGAUGUGGUUGCAGGCUGGGGUGUGGUAUAGUUUGUAGGUGGUGGUGUCAUGGGUAGAGAGCAGAGAAAAGAGAGAGAGCUGGGUUCUGGGUUCGUUGCACACACAGAGAGAAUUUUUGAGAAAUUUUUUUAAUUGUUUAAUAUUUUUGGUUUUUAAUACUUUAUUCAUAUUUCAAUCAAUUUAAACUAAAAUUUUUUAAAAAUGUGGGACCCACAAUGCCACGUAGGCAAUUAACAGAGAGAUCUAACAGAAACCCUAAAGGUGGAGCCACGUUGUAACAAAUUUAAAAGUCCGGGGUAUGUGAUUGUUAAAAUUGAAAAGACAAGGACUAACAUGUCUUAAAGGUGUAAUCAUAGGAUACCAAAAUGUAAUUAACUCAUUAUUAUAUAACAAGUAUCCUAUGUGAUGUUACAUCACAUCAUCCAUAAACUCAACUAGUUCAUCAAAUUUUGGACUUAUGCACAAGAAUGACUGCUUCUCACUGCUGUUUGUACAAAAGAGAAUCUGUUUGCUUCAAAUAUCGGCCAUAUGUUACGACAUGUUGCAGUCUUUUUAAUUCGGGAGACUGGGAUCCAAUCGAUUAGCUCAUCAAGUGGAUCAUCUUGAUUAUUCAAGUUUUUCUUUGAAACACAUUCAUAUUAAGGGCUGAUAGUCAUAUAAAGAGUAUUUCUGCAUAUUUCAACAAAUUUGUUAAGGCAAGCAAUUCUUCAUAUCUAUUCAUUAAUUAACACUUAUUAAGAUUACAUGAACCCCUUAAAAUUGAGGGCUUGAAUAAAAAUAAGAAAACAAAAGGGUCCAAGAACCCAUGAAGCCACAAGUAGAGGCAGUCCAAAACUGAACCUCUGGAAUGCCCAAUUCCAUCGCAGCUCUGCUCCCAAACCCCAUGACCUCAUCUGAAAUUAUGCAAGUAACUGGGGACACUUCAGACAAUUCACCAAGCUUAACCAGAAGCUCUUUGAAGGGACCAAGACAGUUUUUUCUGAUGGAAUCACUGAGUGCAGGAACAUCUUGGGUAGCAUCUUUGUCAGAUGGUGGAAGGCCCAUCUGGUAUGGCCUCAAAUCUAAAGCCAGGUAAGCCCAUAGGGAUGAUGGGUGCCCUUGGGACCUGAUGAGGCACCUGUGGAUGAACUCGAGAGUUGUCAGAGGCCUUUUGAGUGUAGGAGCUUGGCUAAUUGCAUUAUAGGGCUAACAUGCCCUUAUGAAGCGUAAGGGACACAAACUACGUGGGGUUGUGUUCUUCCUCCAACUGUUACCAUCUUUUGCUAAAUGGGUAAAUUACUCAAAUGGUCUUCAAACUUGUACGCGAUUUACAUUUUGGUCCCUAAAUUAAGUUAUUAGUCUAAAUGGUACAUAAACUCUAUUUUAAUCGCCCAUUUGAUCCAACCGUUAGGUUCUGUCAAUGUUGUCGUCAAAUUUAAGGGUAAAACCGUUCAAACAGUAUAGAAUAGCCAGCUCUUAAACCGACAAAGGCGUCAUUCAAGGAAUCCACCUUCUUCUUCAACGAAGGCUGCGAUGUUUGAAAGCUCAACAAAUUCAACUCGAUCUAAUCGGUAUUGCUUUUGUGGGAUGAAGAUUAAACGGCGCACUUCAUGGACAGAUCUGAACCUGGGAAGAAGGUUUGAGGCAUGCGACCAAAAUCGGGUAAGAUAGAGUAAGGGUUUUGUUAUGUUUAAGUGAAGAAUUGAAUGGUGUGCUGGGCUCUGAUUGAUUAUGUGUAACAAAUGAUGUGUAGAAUAGCUAAACAAGACAUCAUUUCUUUGAAUGGCUGGAUAAUGAAACAUGUCCAAGAGGAAAGGAAGUGCUUCCUGGAUUGCUUAGAAGACUCAGAGGUAUGGAGAAAGAAAUUAGAGCAAGAGAUGAGCAACAGAGAUUAGCGGAAGUAGAGAAGAAAAAAUUGGAAGAGAAAGUGGGUGUUGUUAUUGAAGGAAAAAAGGAAUUGGAAUGGAGUAGACAGAGACAAUUGAAAUUGGGGUUUGCUUUGAUCCUUUUAUGGUGUUUGUUUGUAAUUUUGGUGAUGAGUAGAAAGAUUUAGCUAUGAAUGUUAGGUAUGUAAUGGCCUUUUAGGUUUGUAAUGGGAUUAUAGGUAUGAAUGUAAUGUGGUGUUUGUUAGCUAUGAAUGUAAUGUGGUGUUUGUUAGCUAUGAAAUAGUUUGUGGAGUAUUUUAGGUAAAACAAUUCCAUAACCAAAAACCACACCAAUUCCAUAAAGGAAAACCAAUUUCAUAACCAAAACCAAUUCCAUAACCAAAAACCAAUUGCAUAACCAAAAACCAAUCCCAUAGCCAAAAACCAAUUCCAUAACCAAACUGCACAGCAUAAACUAAUUCCAUUACCAAUAUGUAGAGUUAACUCUAAUCCACAAGCUGUGAUUCCAUAAAAUUACAUCCCAAAUUACAGAACCUAAACCAAAAGGCAGAGUGUAACUUUAAUCCAAAAGAUGUGAAUCCACAAAAUAACAUCCCAAAAGCUGUGAUCCUAUUGUUUGUACUGUAAGCCAAAAUGCAGGGCCUUUACAUAACCAAAAUGCAUAUCCUGAACAAAAUCUACACCCCAAAUUACACAAAAUAUAUAUGAUUCCCCCUGCCUUGUGAAUGAUUAUGGUUGUGAUAGAACUUCUGUAGGCCUUUUGAAUGUUCCUCUUCUAAUAGCAACCAUUUUGAAUGUUUCUCCUCUAAUAGCAGCCCUUUUGAAUGUGCCCCCUCUAACAGCUGAAAGUUUGAAUAUGGAACCAGGUUGGGCAGAGACAGAAGUUGAAGAUGGAUUUGAGCUCUCUUGUGUAAGUGCAGCUGACUGUGACAAUGAUAUAUUUGCACUUCCUCUUGCUAAACCUCUGACCAUAGUUCUUGGCAAACCUCUUCCCAUACCUCUUGCCAACUAAAGAAAGAGGACCAAUAUAAGUUCUGAACUAUAUUGCAAAAAAGUAAGUGAGCAUAUUUGAAAAAUAAACCCCAAACAACAUACACUUUGUUGUGAAGAAGUAGCAACUUCAGUUACAACAGCUAGAGCCUCAUUAGCUCUUCAUGUUCCUCUAGCCAACCUUUUUUUCAUAUCUCUUAGCAUACUUCUUGGCCAACCUCUUAUACCUCUUGCCACCUAAACAAAGAGGACCAAUAUAAGUUCUCAACUAAAUUGCAGAUUUGUGACACAACAUAUUUGAAGAAAAAUACCCCAAAAAACAUACACUUUGUUGUGAAGAAGUAGCAACUUGUUUUGCAACAGUUGGAGCCUUAUUGGCUAUUCUUCUUCCUCGUCCUCUGCCCCUCACUCUAACUUGCCCUCCCUCGGAUUGGACCUCUUUUUGGGCAGAAGAUGCAUUUGCCUAUAAGAGCACAAGGAAUUAUUACUUCCAAAACAUGUAACAACUCUAAAUUUGCAUAAUAAAUAAUUACUUGUUAAUUUUCUGAGCCGUGUCUGUCACAAGUUGCCCUAUUAUGGCCACUUUGACAACAUCUCCUACAUGUGACCUUAAUAAAAAGUCUUCUAAGCUUGUCUCUUGGUUGAACAUAAUUUGGAGGCAUUAGUUGUGGUGGUGGUACCAGAAUUUCAGCAGGUUAACAUUUUGGAGAUGUAUUGAAGGAUGCUCAGAUUUAGUCUACUGAUCCAUUGAAGGAAUGAGGUAAAUCAUUGGUUUAUAUAAUUUCAUAUAAGUUGCAGGCUUGUAACAUGCAUCCACAUAAUCAAUGGGGCUUUCAUCCCUUUGAAAAAUUGCAUGGCCACAUGGUAUCCCACAUAAAUCUCACCUCCGACAAGGACAUGUCCUUGCCCUAAGAUCCACAACAAAUUCUCCACCAUACAUGUGGGUCACUUGAUAUGUUUGCAAGCCAGCCAAUCGAGGAAUGCAUGUGAAGGCAUCUAACUUGUUCUUCUCAAUUGUCUUGAAGAUUAUUAGCCUAAUUAGAUGUUUCCAUUUCGGACAUGCAGCCCUUCUAUUUGCCAUCCUAAGCAUCACGAGGACUCUUAUCCUCUCCAAGCAAGUCAAAAUGGACUGAUCUCUUGCAUCUACUAUUGCUGAAUUGAAACUUUCACAAAGAUUGUUCAACAACAGAUCACACACAAACAGUGUAUCAAAGUGAUAUCUGCUCCAAUUCUUUGCAGGUCUCUUACUGAGCCAUUUCCACGCUUCCUCAUCCUAUUGUCAUUUCUACUUCCCACCAAGGCAUAGUUGUGGCUCUUGCUGCAACCCACAAUAUGUGUUUUAGAGCAAGACCAAAGUGUGAUGAUCUAAAGUUAUUAUAUAAGUGUCUAACACACAUCUUGUGCUCUGCAAUUGGAAGUAGAGUCUCAAUUGCAGGUAUGAGUCCCUUUUGCUUGUCGCUAAUGAACACAUAUGACAAACCAUUUGUAAUCUUUAGAUCUUCAAUCAACAGCUUAAGAAACCAGAUCCACGAUUGUUUGCUUUCGAUCUCAACAACUGCAUAAGCAAUUGGGAAACUGCCAUUGUUGCCAUCCACCCCAACUGCUGUCAAAAUCUGGCCAGGAUAAGAACCUUUUACAUGGCACCUAUCAACACCAAUAACUGGUCUGCAUCCAUCUAAAAACCUUUGCCUGCAACCAGCGAAGCAAACAUACAUCCUUAGAAAGAUAGCUUGGCCCCCCACUUGUUCAGUUUUAAUUACAACUGUACUUCCCUUGUUUGCCUUCUUCAAUUCCUCUGCAUAAUCCCUUAACCUAGCAUAUUGUUCUAUGUAACUCCCUUCAAUCAUUACUUUGGCCCUAUAUAUUUGAUGUCUUGUGACAUUUAUACAAUAAUCCUCUAAAACAUCCUCUUGCAAUGAUUUCACAUCCAAGUCUAUGUCUCUCUUCAGCUUCUUAGAAUACCUAUUGCAAAGCCACUUGGAUGAGGCAUACUUCAACUUGUCGACCCUCCCAUAAGUGUGUUCUAGGCUCAUAGUCUUGAUUACAAAUGUAGAUUCACUCUUAUCUAUCUUUGAAGCAUAUAAAUAAAAUGGACAUUUCAGUCCUCCCAUACAUACUACCUGGAGCCUCACUUUGUCAUUUUUUUUGAAUUUUAUUAACUUACCAUGUAGAAUUGCAUACCUCCACAACUUCUUUCAAUACCUUUUUGUUUGCAAAUCGCAUUCCCAUCCUGAACUCUGGAUUCCUUAAAUCCACCUCUCUCCUGUACUCCUUCAACUUUGGCAAAUUUUUUCUUUCUUUCUUUUGCCCUUUUCCUCACCAUUACCCUGAUCAUGAUCCUCUUCAUCACUUCCUGUGUCCAAAUCCGAUGUGUUAGCAUCAUCUGAUGAAACCUCUCCUGGAGCAUCAUAAGUAGGCCUAACUUUCUCAUGUCUAUGAGGCUGAACAGUAGGCCCAACAUUCUCACAUGCAUUGGGGUUAAUAGUAGGCUCAACAUUCUCACCUGCAUUGGCCUGAACAGUAGGCCCAACGUUCUCACCUGCAUUGGGCUCACCACUUGGGCCUCCAACUACCACAUUCUCAACUACAAGCACCUCAUCUUCUUGUUCAUUGAAUUCAUAAUCACUAUCCACAAAUUCUGCAUCAUUUCCUCAUUUCCCCUUCAUUUCCAACCUCUCCACUCUCAAUUGUUGUAGCCUUAUCUUCCUCUCCAUUCUCAGUUGCUGCAGCCUCAUUUUCCCCUUCAUUUCCAACUUCCACAUAUGCAUCUGCAUGACCUGGUUCACUGAAUGUGUACCAUGUGACACCCUUCCCAUAAUUCCUACAUCUGCAUCAUAGUUAAUUCUGCACUAUCCAAACUAGGCCAUGCAACAAAUGCUUGACUUCCAAGCCCAUUACCAUUUGAAUUUUCCAAAUUUGUAUAGUACAACACAAGAACCCUAUUAUAUGGCAUGCAUCCAACCAGUUCAACUACUUUAGCAUCAGAGGUAAUAAGCUCCAAUAUGUUACCAUCCUUUUCUCCAGCCUUUCUAUACCUAAUCUCCAUAGUUUACUCAAUUUUCAAAACAUCUAUUGUAUACCCCAACUCUUUCCCUAUCUUUCUUAAAUCCAGCAAUGAUAGAAAGUCAUCAACAACAUUAUCUAAAUAACAGACCUUACCACCUUUAUAAACCCCAUUUUCAAACAUACCCCCAUGGUGUAGUUUAAGAGUGACUCUGUCAGAGAUAGCGGCAAAAAGUACACAUCAAAUUUCAGAGUUAGCUGCACACACAUCUCCUUUAUCUAAUGCUACAGGUUUAGGGUUUUAAUUUUUUUUACAGUUUCACUCAAUGCUAAUAGUGAAUUAAGUGUGAAGUAGACAACAAAGGGACCACACCAAAUAUAAAAACCUAUACUUUGCAGUUAAUGCCAGCAUAAAGGAAAUAAAAUGCCAGAGAAUCUUUGCAACAUAAAGAAACUAACCUCGGACUACACACUUGCAAACAAAAAGCAUCGAUUUGCAAAACAAGAUGAAUAUAAAAUACAGAUAGAGAAUCCUUAUCGUAUUUGGGAUUCUCUCCACUUUAACGGAACUCAAACUCCAUCAGUGACAAGCAUCCACAAUGAUCAAAAUCCAGAAAUUCCCGCAAAACCCCCAAAUAGGAACCCUAACAACUCCAAAAUCUCUGUUGUUGCCUUCGCACCUCCUUUUUCACCAACUGAAUACGACGUCUUUGGCUAAUCGGAGAAGAUAAUCAAAGCCUUUUAAGGUUUAAAAAGACGCAUAUACCUUUUCGGGUUUAAAAAGACGCAUAUACCCAUCCUAGACCCCACUACUGGCGUUGACUUGUUAAAAACUUAUAGAAAAUGUAACGGUUGGAUCAAAUGGGCGAUUAAAAUAGAGUUUAUGUACCAUUUGGACUAAUAAUUUAAUUUCGGAACUAAAAUGUAAAUCGCGUACAAGUUUGAGGACCAUUUGAGUAAUUUGCCCUUUGCUAAAUUCACUUGGCAAGAGGAAAAAGCUGCAACCGAUCUAAUAUUGUUAUCAUGACUUCUUUUAUUAUAUUUUUACUAAUUAUAAGUUGGCCUUCUAGUCCUUUGGUGUUUUUUUUUAUUGGAAUACAUCCAGUCAUUUCGUCUUAGUGAUCAUAUCUCAUCAUAUUCUUUAGCUUUUGUGUGUUUUUUUUAGGGUAAACUGCCAAAAACCCCCCAAAACUAUAACAUUUGUCGACAUGUCUAUCAUGAAUUAUUUUUUCAGCCAAUUUAACCAUCAGACUAUUUUAAAUGGUCAAUUUACCCCAUGCCGUUAGUUUCCAUGUAAUUUCAUCCAAUUUUUCGUUAAAAAUAAUUAAAUCUUUAAAAACUAAAAAAGCAAAAAAAUAAAAAAUAAAAAAUAACCCAAGCAAUCAACGUCUUCCCCACCCCAUCCCCCAGACACUCUAAACAGCCACCUUGUCAGCCAUGGCGAACAUCAUCUCUUCAUCGACCUCGUCUUGGCCUGUAAAAAAUGUAAAAUCAUUUCUUUGUUCUUUUUAGAAUACUCAAUCAAGGAGCCUUGGGAAUGGUGACCCACUUUUCUCAGAUUCUUCUUUGAUCUGUAAGUAGAAUAGGGGUUUUGGGACCAUUUCACGCUGGGGCACUUGAGUUAGCGGCGGGAUUGAAUACCUUGAUCGAAUCAGAGUUCAAAACAAAAGUAGAAAUCCCAUAGAGAAUCGAGCUAUUUCAGCUCACAACUUGAAAUUAAUAUUUGCCUCUCUCUCUCUCUCUCUCUCUCUCUCUCUCUCUCUCUCUCUCAUUUUUCCUUAUUAUUCUUCUCUCCCUUUCACUUUCUUUUAAAAAUCUGAUUCCAUCUCCGGCGGCCACAUCAAUCCCGUUGUCACCUUAGCCGCAGUGUUCGUCUGCCUCAUAUCCAUCUCAAGUGCCCAUGUCUACAUCUUGAGCCAGUGCACGGGGGCGGUACCAGCCAACACCAACAAUCAAAUAAAAACAACCCAAUCACCCAUAAAAAUCAUCCAGUCUCCGAAUACCCAAACACUGAAAUGCAAUCCCUAAAUCCCAUUGACCCAAUCAAGAACAAGUAGGUGUUGAUGAAGAUGAAAACGUAUCUUGAUUCUAAUUAUACGUUUAUUUACACGAACCAACCAUUGGCAUUCACUCGAAAACCCUUGUGGAUGUGGGAUUGAAGACAGAGUCUUGGGAGGAAGAGGUUGGGGAAGACGUUGAUUGCCUUCCCUUUUUUUUUCUUUUUUUUUUCUUCUUUCAGUUUUGUAAUUUUAAACAUUUAAUUAUUUUAAACAUUAAAAAAUUAAAUUUUAAUUGAAUAGUGAAUCACAUGCCUAACAUGUGACAUUUAGACAGAAAAUUGGAUGAAAUUACAUGGAAACUAACGGCAGGGGGUAAAUUGACCAUUUAAAAUAGUCUGAUGGUUAAAUUGGCUGAAAAAAUAAUUUAAGGCGGACAUUUUGACAAUCGUUAUAGUUCAGGGGGGUUUUCACAGUUUACCCUUUUAUUUAUUUAUAAGGUUUCUAAAUAUUAAAAACGGAUUUUGGAGUUUGGAGUCCAAUUCUAUUUUUCAGUUUAAAAAAUUAUAUUAAAAUAGAAUACCAAACGAGCCCUUAGCUUUUGAAAUACUUCGAAAUCUAAAACAGAGAUCCGCCCAAUACAUAAUCAACAGGUAAUUCGAAUAUCAAUAUAUGUAUGCAUUUGCAACAAACUAUAGAAGGCUGAACGGAAAUAUUAAUUUUAUUCAGAAGCCCAGUCUGCUUGGAAACUGUAACAGAGUUGGGCUACAAACAACUAGAGAAACAACUGACGUCCAAAUAAAACAUAAACAUUAUUACAGCACUUGAACAUAUAUAUAUAUAUAUAUAAAUAUAUUUGGAAGUUCUUGACAAGGAAACAUAUUUGUUCCUCAUUGUAGAAGUCAUCCACCUUAAUGGAGAGACUUAAUCAAUCUAUCAAAAUUAUUGUACGAUGAUCCUCGAAUAUCAGUAGCUUCUACGGCUUUUUUCUUCCAUUCUUUGGCCUUUUGCCUCAUCUUCAUCCCCUUUUCUCCUUCAAGAAUCUCCUUAACAAGCACUUCGAUUUCAUCGCGCUUCACAUCGGGGCUCACCUCCAUUCCAAUCUCCCAGUCAGUGCAUGCGUAUCGACAAUUCGUGUGUUGCUCAGCAAAGAAAGGCCAGCAAAUUACUGGCACGCCUUCGGAUACACUUUCGAGAGUAGAAUUCCAGCCAGUGUGUGUUAAAAAAGCCCCAACAGAUGGAUGAGCUAGCACUUGGUCCUGUGGACACCAGCUUGCUAUAUAACCCCUUUCCUUAAUCUCCUCAAAAAAUUCAUUGGGUAAAAUAGCUGAGUCUCCCUCUACCACAUCAGGCCUAACAAUCCACAAAAAUGGAUGCUUGCUAUUUGCAAGCCCCCAUGCGAAUUCUUUCAGAUGCUGAUCUGUCAUUGUAGUUAUGCUCCCAUAAUUUACAUACACAACUAAACUAGGUUUCUUCUGAUCAAGCCAUUUCAAACAUUCUGUGUCUUCUUUCCAUAAGUUUGAGCUAAGAGACUCGACCAAUUUGGUUUCGGUUUCAGGCAAAUGCCUCUCAAGCAACUUAAGGGGGCCAAUGGUGUAGAUGUUGGGGAACAUGGUCG
rnacentral:lncRNA from 1 species